CUACGGGCGGCAGCAGUGAGGAAUAUUGCACAAUGGGGGGAACCCUGAUGCAGCAACGCCGCGUGGAGGAUGACGCAUUUCGGUGUGUAAACUCCUUUUAUAUGUCAAGAAAAUGACGGUAGCAUAUGAAUAAGCACCGGCUAACUCCGUGCCAGCAGCCGUGGUAAUACGGAGGGUGCAAGCGUUACUCGGAAUCACUGGGCGUAAAGGACGCGUAGGCGGGUUGGAAAGUCAGGUGUGAAAUCCUACAGCUUAACUGUAGAACUGCACUUGAAACUUCUAAUCUAGAGUAUGGGAGGGGGAGAUGGAAUUAGUGGUGUAGGGGUAAAAUCCGUAGAUACCACUAGGAAUACCUAAAGCGAAGGCGAUCUCCUGGAACAUUACUGACGCUAAGGCGUGAAAGCGUGGGGAGCAAACAGGAUUAGAUACCCUGGUAGUC
rnacentral:rRNA from 1 species